rnacentral:rRNA from 1 species
CCUACGGGUGGCAGCAGUGAGGAAUAUUGGUCAAUGGACGAGAGUCUGAACCAGCCAAGUAGCGUGAAGGAUGACUGCCCUAUGGGUUGUAAACUUCUUUUAUAUGGGAAUAAAACGUUCCACGUGUGGGAUUUUGUAUGUACCAUAUGAAUAAGGAUCGGCUGACUCCGUGCCAGCAGCCGCGGUAAUACGGAGGAUCCGAGCGUUAUCCGGAUUUAUUGGGUUUAAAGGGAGCGUAGGUGGAUUGUUAAGUCAGUUGUGAAAGUUUGCGGCUCAACCGUAAAAUUGCAGUUGAAACUGGCAGUCUUGAGUACAGUAGAGGUGGGCGGAAUUCGUGGUGUAGCGGUGAAAUGCUUAGAUAUCACGAAGAACUCCGAUUGCGAAGGCAGUUCACUGGACUGCAACUGACACUGAGGCUCGAAAGUGUGGGUAUCAAACAGGAUUAGAUACCCCAGUAGUC